AGUUUGUCCUUGAAAUCCUUGGAGAUCAUCAACGUCAACGUCAUCAGUGGGAUGUGUCAGGGAGGCCUGUUGGGUACUUACUCACAGAUGUGGGACGUUACGCAACUGGCAAGGACCCCAGGAACCGUAUAUCUGUUUAUCCGAUUGAGGAUGAGCUGAAGCCGAGCGGUGUUCAAAUACUCCAAGAGACUAGCGUCAGCCGAUCUGGUUCAUUAGUGAGUGCAUGCUAGCUUGUGCUUCUGUAUCAACAUCAGUCUCUUCAGAUCACCAGUCAC